ACGCUUAACCACAAGUCCUACGGCAUUGGCUUGUAAAAUUGCUUUCGGACUUGUAAAAUUCUUCUCUACAAGCCAACAGAAUCCAACUAAAAUUUUUAAAAAAUUGAGCUACUGGCUUGUGGACUCAAAAGUUAAGCGUGAAGGCUGGUUACAUGUGUUCAGAUUUUUGAUUAUGGGCUCAGUUUUCAAGUUGGUCCAAGUUGGGGUCCAAAAUUAAACUUUGUUUGAUUUCAACAAAAAUUGAAUAUAUGGGGUUCUUUGAUAUUCUGAAUCUAAACAUGUAUUUAGAUUUUAGAUUUUUGGCCCAGUUUUAAAGUUGGUCCAAAUUGGGGUCCAAAAUUAAACUUUGUUUGAUUUCAACAAAAAUUGAAUAUAUGGGGUUCUUUGAUAUGCUGAAUCUUACCAUGUAUUUAGAUUUUUUAUUUGUGGGCCCGCUAUCAAAUUGGUUCAUAUUGAGUCAAAAGGGUCCAAAAUUAAACUUUGUUUGAUUUUAUCAAAAAUUGAAUUAAUGGGGUUCUUUGAUAUGCCAAAUCUAACUGUGUUUUUAGAUUUUUAAUUUUGGGUCCCGUUUUUUAAAUUGGUCUACAUUAAGGUCCAAAGGGUCCAAAAUUAAACUUAGUUUGAUUUUAACAAAAAUUGAAUUCUUGGGGUUCUUUGAUAUGCUGAAUCUAAACAUGUGUUUAGAUUUUUAUACGACCGCAAAAAUUGAAAAUUUUUUGGUCGUAUAUUGGUAUGACGUCGUCGUCGUCGUCGUCGUCGUCGUCCGGCGUCGUCCGAAGACACAUUGGUUUUCGCACUCUAACUUUAGUUUAAGUGAAUGGAUCUCCAUGAAAUUUUACCAUAAGGUUCAAUACCACGAAAGGAAGGUUGGGAUUGAUUUUGGGGGUUAUGGUACAAACAGUUAAGGAAUUAGGGGCCAAAAAGGGGCCAAAAAUAAGCAUUUUUGUAACUUCCAGACAAUAACUUGUGUGUAAGUGUAUGGAUCUCUCUGACAUUGUACCACAAGGUUCCAUAUCACAAAGAGAAGGCUGUAAUUGAUUUUGGGGGUAAUUGCCUCAAAAUUUUAGGAAUUAGGGGCCAAAAAAGGGGCAAAAAACAAGCAUUUUUCUAGUUUCAUGACAAUAACUUGUGUGUAAGUGUUUGGAUAUUUCUGAAAUUGUACUACAAGGUUCCAUAUCACAAAGGGAAAGCUGGAAUUGAGUUUGGGGGGUAAUUGCCUGAAACGUUUAGGAAUUGGGGGCCAAAAAGGGGCCAAAAAUAAGCAUUUUUCUAGUUUCCAGACAAUAACUUGUGUUCAAGUGUAUGGAUCUCUCUGAAAUUGUACUGCAAGGUACCAUACCACAAAGGGAAGGCUGGGAUUGAGUUUGGGGGUGAUGAAUCAUAAGGGGGUUCAAAAAAUUUGGGGGGGGGGGAAUUUUUUUUUUUUCUUUUUUUUUCUUUUUUUCCUUUUUUUUUUCUUUUAAAAUUUUCCAUUUUAAGUUGGUUAUUUCUGAUUAAUAUUUAAAAGCAAAUAAUAAUGAUAUGGUAGGAGAUACACACCAAACAGGAUGUGUAAAUUAUUAUAUAAUAAGUAUUGUGCAAUAGCAAGAAAUUUUCAAUUGCACAGUAUUGCACAAUUGCAAGAAAUCUUCAAUUGCACAGUAUUGCGCAAUAGCAAGAAAUCUUCAAUUGCACAGUAUUGCGCAAUAGCAAGAAAUAUCCAAUAGCACAAUAUUGCGCAAUAGCAAGAAAUUGUCAAUUGUACAGUAUUGCACAAUAGCAAGAAAUAUUCAAUUGCACAGUAUUGUGCAAAAGAAGAUACUUCGUAUAAAUUGCUUAUUUCUUGAUCAAUUUCAAUGGGGUUUUAUUCUUGAAUUCUUGGGGUUCUUUAAUAUGCUGAAUCUAACCGUGUAUUAAGUUUUUGGAUUUUGGGCCCCGUUUUUAAAUUGGUCCACAUUGAGGUCUCAAGGGUCCAAAAUUUAACUUUGUUUGAUUUCAUCAAAAAUUGAAUUAUUGGGGUUCUUUGAUAUGCCGAAUCUAACCGUGUAUUUAGAUUCUUAAUUUUUGGUUCCGUUUUCAAAUUGGUCUACAUUAAGGUCAAAAGGGUCCAAAAUUAAACUUAGUUUGAUUUUAACAAAAAUUGAAUUUUUAGGGUUCUUUGAUAUGCUGAAUCUAAACAUGUAUUUAGAUUUUUGAUUAUGGGCCCAGUUUUCAAGUUGGUCCAAAUCGGGGUCCAAAAUUAAACUUUGUUUGAUUUCAACAAAAAUUGAAUAUAUGGGGUUCUUUGAUAUGCUGAAUCUAACCAUGUAUUUAGAUUUUUGAUUUUUGGGCCCCGUUAUCAACUUUGUCCACAUUGAGGUCAAAAGGGUCCAAAAUUAAACUUUGUUUGAUUUCAUCAAAAAUUGAAUUAUUGGGGUUCUUUGAUAUGCCAAAUCUAACCGUGUAUUUAGAUUUUUAAUUUUGGGUCCCGUUUUUAAAUUGGUCUACAUUAAGGUCCAAAGGGUCCAAAAUUAAACUUAGUUUGAUUUUAACAAAAAUUGAAUUCUUGGGGUUCUUUGAUAUGCUGAAUCUAAACAUGUGUUUAGAAUUUUGAUUAUGGGCCCAGUUUUCAAGUUGGUCCAAGUUGGAGUCCAAAAUUAAACUUUGUUUGAUUUCAACAAAAAUUGAAUAUAUGGGGUUCUUUGAUAUGCUGAAUCUAAACAUGUAUUAAGAUUUUAGAUUUUUGGUCCAAAUUGGGGUCCAAAAUUAAACUUUGUUUGAUUUCAACAAAAAUUGAAUAUAUGGGGUUCUUUGAUAUGCUGAAUCUUACCAUGUAUUUAGAUUUUUUAUUUGUGGGCCCGCUAUCAAAUUGGUUCAUAUUGAGGUCAAAAGGGUCCAAAAUUAAACUUUGUUUGAUUUCAUCAAAAAUUUAAUUAUUGGGGUUCUUUGAUAUGCCAAAUCUAACCGUGUAUUUAGAUUUUUAAUUUUGGGUCCCAUUUUUUAAAUUGGUCUACAUUAAGGUCCAAAGGGUCCAAAAUUAAACUUAGUUUGAUUUUAACAAAAAUUGAAUUUUUGGGGUUCUUUGAUAUGCUGAAUCUAAACAUGUGUUUAGAUUUUUGAUUAUGGGCCCAGUUUUCAAGUUGGUCCAAGUUGGGGUCCAAAAUUAAACUUUGUUUGAUUUCAACAAAAAUUGAAUAUAUGGGGUUCUUUGAUAUGCUGAAUCUAAACAUGUAUUUAGAUUUUAGAUUUUUGGCCCAGUUUUCAAGUUGGUCCAAUUUGGGGUCCAAAAUUAAACUUUGUUUGAUAUCAACAAAAAUUGAAUAUAUGGGGUUCUUUGAUAUGCUGAAUCUUACCAUGUAUUUAGAUUUUUUAUUUUGUAGGCCCGCUAUCAAAUUGGUUCAUAUUGUGGUCAAAAGGGUCCAAAAUUAAACUUUGUUUGAUUUCAUCAAAAAUUUAAUUAUUGGGGUUCUUUGAUAUGCCAAAUCUAACCGUGUUUUUAGAUUUUUAAUUUUGGGUCCCAUUUUUAUACGACCGCAAAAAAAUUUUGUGGUCGUAUAUUGGUAUGACGUUGGCGUCGUCGUCGUCGUCGUCGUCGUCGUCCGGCGUCGUCGUCGUCGUCGUCCGGUGUCGUCGUCCGAAUACAUAUUGGUUUUCGCACUCUAACUUUAGUUUAAGUGAAUGGAUCUUUUUGAAAUUUGACCAUAAGGUUAAAUACCACAAAAGGAAGGUUGGGAUUGAUUUUGGGGGUUAUGGUACCAACAGUUAAGGAAUUAGGGGCCAAAAAGGGGCCAAAAAUGAGCAUUUUCUAGUUUCCAGACAAUAACUGUGGAACGGUGUAUGGAUCUCUCUGAAAUUAUACUACAAGUUUCCAUAACACAAAGGGAUGGUUAGGAUUUGCUUUGGGGGGUUAUGGCUCAAACCGUUUAGGAAUUAGGGGCAAAAAAGGGGGAAAAACAAGGUUGUCCUGGUUAAUGGACAAAUACUUUAGUACAAAACAUAAUUUAAAGCAGUGUAAGGGAGAUAAAUCAAAUACAUCAUUGAAAUUAUCUCCCUUACACUGCUUUUAAAUUAUGUAUAAAGUAAUGGUUAAUGAACAAUAAAGAUAAUCUAAAACAGUGUAAGGGAGGUAAUCCAAAUACAACGUUUUGGUUACUUCCCUUACACUGCUUUUAAAUUAUGUUUAAAGAAAUGCAUAUUUAUAAAGGAAGACCAGUAAAAAUAUCUGCAAAUGUUGCAUCUUCUUUUUUUUACAAAAAAAUCCAUAUGAAAGAUUUGACACUAUAUUUUUAAUUCUAUUAUAAAAUAGAUUAAGUUAGCACUAUGGUAAAUUUAAAUGGGUAAUUAUGGUUGCAAACUCCAUUGGAAAUUUGAAUUGAGAUUAUGACCAUAUCUUGAGGGAAAGAAUUUUUUUGGGGAAAAAGGGGGGGGGGGGGGGGGUAAAAAGAAAUUGUGGGGGGUCAAUUUUUUCUCAUUUCAGAUUUCAGAAAUUAAAAAGAAUUAUUCUUCAAAUAUUUUUUUUUUUUUCAAAUUUCAAAUAUUGAAAAAUUUCAAGAAGUAAUCUUUAAUUACACAGUAUGGCGCAUUAGAUUUGUAAAAUCUUUGACCACAUUUAUUUAUUUGUUAUGCCGAAUCUAACCGUGAAUUUAGAUUUUUAAUUUUGGGUCCAGUUUUCAAAUUGGUCUACAUUAAGGUCCAAAGGGUCCAAGAUUAAACUUUGUUUGAUUGUAACAAAAAUUGAAUUCUUGGGGUUCUUUGAUAUGCUGAAUCUAAACAUGUAUUUAGAUUUUUGAUUUUUGGCCCAGUUUUCAAGUUGGUCCAAAUUGGGGUCCAAAAUUAAACUUUGUUUGAUUUCAACAAAAAUUGAAUAUAUGGGGUUCUUUGAUAUGCUGAAUCUAACCAUGUAUUUAGAUUUUUUAUUUGUGGGCCCGCUUUCAAAUUGGUUCAUAUUGAGGUCAAAAGGGUCCAAAAUUAAACUUUGUUUGAUUUCAUCAAAAAAUGAAUUAUUGGGGUUCUUUGAUAUGCUGAAUCUAACCAUUUAUUUAGAUUUUUUAUUUGUGGACCCCGCUAUCAAAUUUGUUCAUAUUGAGGUCAAAAGGGUCCAAAAUUAAACUUCUUUUGAUUUCAUCAAAAACUGAAUUAUUGGGGUUCUUUGACAUGCCAAAUUUAACCGUGUAUUUAGAUUUUUAAUUUUGGUUCCUGUUUUUAUACGACCGCAAAAAAAUUUUGUGGUCCUAUAUUGGUAUGACGUUGGCGUUGUCGUCGUUGUCGUCGUCCGGCGUCGUCGUCCAGCGUCGUCGUCCGAAUACAUAUUGGUUUUCGCACUCUAACUUUAGUUUAAGUGAAUGGAUCUUUUUGAAAUUUUACCAUAAGGUUAAAUACCACAAAAGGAAGGUUGGGAUUGAUUUUGGGGGUUAUGGUAUCAACAGUUAAGGAAUUAGGGGCCAAAAAGGGGCCAAAAAUGAGCAUUUUCUAGUUUCCAGACAAUAACUGUGGAACGGUGUAUGGAUCUCUCUGAAAUUAUACUACAAGUUUCCAUACCACAAAGGGAUGGUUAGGAUUUGCUUUGGGGGGUAAUGGCUCAAACCGUUUAGGAAUUACGGGCAAAAAAGGGGGAAAAACAAGGUUGUCCUGGUUAAUGGACAAAUACUUUAGUACAAAACAUAAUUUAAAGCAGUGUAAGGGAGAUAAAUCAAAUACAUCAUUGAAAUUAUCUUCCUUACACUGCUUUUAAAUUAUGUAUAAAGUAAUGGUUAAUGAACAAUAAAGAUAAUCUAAAACAGUGUAAGGGAGGUAAUCCAAAUACAACGUUUUGGUUACUUCCCUUACACUGCUUUUAAAUUAUGUUUAAAGAAAUGCAUAUUUAUAAAGGAAGACCAGUAAAAAUAUCUGCAAAUGUUUUCAUCUUUUUUUUUUACAAAAAAAUCCAUAUGAAAGAUUUGACACUAUAUUUUUAUUAAUUCUAUUAUAAAAUAGAUUAAGUUAGCACUAUGGUAAAUUUAAAUGGGUAAUUAUGGUUGCCAAGUCCAUUGGAAAUUUGAAUUGAGAUUAUGACCAUAUCUUGAGGGAAAGAAUUUUUUGGGGGGAAAAAGGGGGGGGGGAUAAAAAGAAAUUGUGGGGGGCCAAUUUUUUCUCAUUUCAGAUUUCAGAAAUUAAAAAGAAUUAUUCUUCAAAUAUUUUUUUUUUUUCAAAUUUCAAAUAUUGAAAAAUUUCAAGAAGUAAUCUUUAAUUGCACAGUAUGGCGCAUUAGAUUUGUAAAAUCUUUGAUCACAUUUAUUUAUUUGUUAUGCCGAAUCUAACAGUGUAUUUAGAUUUUUAAUUUUGGGUCCAGUUUUCAAAUUGGUCUACAUUAAUGUCCAAAGGGUCCAAAAUUAAACUUUGUUUGAUUUUAGCAAAAAUUGAAUAUAUGAGGUUCUUUGAUAUGCUGAAUCUAAACAUGUAUUUAGAUUUUUGAUUUUUGGCCCAGUUUUCAAGUUGGUCCAAAUUGGGGUCCAAAAUUAAACUUUGUUUGAUUUCAACAAAAAUUGAAUAUAUGGGGUUCUUUGAUAUGCUGAAUCUAACCAUGUAUUUAGAUUUUUUAUUUGUGGACCCCGUUAUCAAAUUGGUUCAUAUUGAGGUCAAAAGGGUCCAAAAUUAAACUUUGUUUGAUUUCAUCUAAAAUUGAAUUAUUGGGGUUCUUUGAUAUUCCAAAUCUAACCGUGUAUUUAGGUUUUUAAUUUUGGGUCCUGUUUUUUAAAUUGGUCUACAUUGAGGUCCAAAGGGUCCAAAAUUAAACUUAGUUUGAUUUUGACAAAAAUUUAAUUCUUGGGGUUCUUUGAUUUGCUGAAUCUAAACAUGUGUUUAGAUUUUUGAUUAUGGGCCCAGUUUUCAAGUUGGUCCAAGAUAGGGUCCAGUAUUUAAACUUUGUUUGAUUUCAACAAAAAUUGAAUAUAUGGGGUUCUUUGAUAUGCUGAAUCUAAACAUGUAUUUAGAUUUUUGAUUAUGGGCCCAGUUUUCAAGUUGGUCAAAAUUGGGGUCCAAAAUUAAACUUUGUUUGAUUUCAACAAAAAUUGAAUAUAUGAGGUUCUUUGAUAUGCUGAAUCUAACCAUGUAUUUAGAUUUUUUAUUUGUAGGCCCCGCUAUCAAAUUGGUUCAUAUUGAGGUCAAAAGGGUCCAAAAUUAAACUUUGUUUGAUUUCAUCAAAAAAUGAAUUAUUGGGGUUCUUUGAUAUGCCAAAUCUAACCGUGUUUUUAGAUUUUUAAUUUUGGGUCCCGUUUUUUAAAUUGGUCUACAUUAAGGUCCAAAGGGUCCAAAAUUAAACUUAGUUUUAUUUUAACAAAAAUUGAAUUCUUGGGGUUCUUUGAUAUGCUGAAUCUAAACAUGUGUUUAGAUUUUUGAUUAUGGGACCAGUUUUCAAGUUUGUCCAAGUUGGGGUCCAAAAUUAAACUUUGUUUGAUUUCAACAAAAAUUGAAUAUAUGGGGUUCUUUGAUAUGCUGAAUCUAACCAUGUAUUUUGAUUUUGGACAUUGGACCAUUAUAGGUAAAUUAAAAAAAUUGAAGUUCUUAGACCACAUUCUUUCUGUGUCAGAAACCUAUGCUGUGUCAAAUAUUUAAUCACAAUCCAAAUUCAGAGCUGUAUCAAGCUUGAAUGUUGUGUCCAUACUUGCCCCAACUGUUCAGGGUUCGACCUCUGCGGUCGUAUCAAGCUGCGCCCAGCGAAGCAUUUUAU